CAGACUCAGGACAACUGAGGUUUGGAGGAAUACGCAGGUUUAAAGAGGAUGGUGACCUGGCGAGUGACCUGGCGAGUGGGUGAUGUCAUAAUAGAGAGACUACUGCAGGGAUGCUGCAUGUGCAGGCUCAGAACAACAUCAAGAGCUCCAGACCACAGCUAAAACUGCUCAUACACAGAUAUUUGUCACAGUUGUGAUGUCCCCAGGCAGAGGCAUCUUCUUCUGGACUCUGAGGUCUACCAGAGAAUCCAGGGCAGGAGAGAAACAACCACAGACCCUCGCCAGUCCAACACCUUCCACCUGAUACAGGAGGUGCUGGAGGAAGACUGUAGAAACGUCAAGAUCAAAGAGGGGCAUCACAGGACUGGAGAAGCCUUACCAAGACCCAGAUCCUUCUAUCAGAACUACAACACAGCAACCAUGGUUCUAACCUUAAGAGAAAUCUAACAUACUACUACCACCACCAUCUCCCCACAGAAUAGACACAUUUUACAAUGAUAACUCACAGGCUGCUUGUUGUCGGACCAAACCCAGGACACAUGAUGUGCUUUACUUGUGCUUGAGAGUGGACAAACUUGUCAAAUGCCUUUAUUGGUGUAUUAUAUUUGUGUGCAGUAGGGGGCAACCUCUACACAUUUGCUGCCCCUGAGUUAGUUUACUCAAAGUGUGUAUGUAAGAUGUUAUUAUGAUCAAACUACAUAAUUUAAUUAUGUGUAACCAUACUAUGCAUUUAUUGUAGAUAUUGGGCUGUUAUAUCACAUUGUUACGUAAGUGGUGAUAAGUUGAAAUAGAAUGUUAUUAUGUAAAUCAACAUUAAAGUGAGACAUUUGCAUGAGAUAUAUAAGUGUUAAGGGAAUUUUUAUCAAUGAUGACUAAUUAUGUAUACAUUUCAAUCAGGACUGACUAAUCAGAAUACUAUUAUGUUAUUGUAUAUGUA